AAAUGCAUAGUUAAAUUUUAAUAURAAAUUGCAAAUUUYAAGGUGUACGCAUUUU
rnacentral:tRNA from 1 species